GGAGGUUUAGCUCAGUGGCAUAAGCACCUGCCUUGCAAGCAGGCAGUCCUGAGUUCAAUCCCCAGUACCGAUA
rnacentral:tRNA from 1 species